GCGGGGGUCGCCAAGCCUGGUCAACGGCGUGGGGCUUAGGACCCCAUCCCUUAGGGGUUCGUGGGUUCGAAUCCCACCCCCCGCACCA
rnacentral:tRNA from 1 species